UAUUUAGCACCUUACAUUUAGUCAACUAUGACCAAUUUAAAUGAUCAAAAUAUUAUACUUGUAUACUGCGUUCUGAUUGGUUCAGAGGCAUCUCACCUGGAUCGUGGAUAAAUCACCGUCCGAUGCUCCUGAAUCCAACAAUCUGCACGUCGCCCGUCUCACCCACGUCGCCCAAGCCUACAAUCCGCACUCCUGUUGCACCCUUCUCUCCCACGCACACAACCACCGCACCUCUCUCCUCUUCUCCCUCCCUCUGAACUGAUCUGAAUCCACCGCCACCCACCCCCACCGCCUCCCAAGCCCACCCUGCAGUACAGAUCCGAGUUCCCCUGCCUCCGCCACCACCGCGCCCACUUCGCGUGCUAUCCAGAUCCACCCUCGGUCUCACCGCUCGCCGCCUCCCAUCCCUAGAUCCUCCACCCGCAACGGACUCACGAGGUAGUGUCCGACCACUCCGUCCUCUAGGCCGGUUGAAUCCACCCCGCUCCCGAUCUCCGGCGCUCCCCCCGCGACCCCUUGCCCGUGCCUAGGGUUUCGACCGUGGCAUCACGUACAUCGCCGGCGCGUCUCCGGUGGCUCCUCUCUGCCACAAAACGUAGCCCCCUCGCGCCCUCUCCAUGUCCUGGAUGGCGCUUGAUAGCUCGGUGCACUCACACGCAUUAGGCUGGACGACAACGACUCUGACCUCUUCUAUCGCGUCUCGGCGCAGUCAUGCAUCCUGUGGCGACCUCCUCUGCCACGUGACGGCAGUGGCCGACCUUCACUGCGAGCGCUCCACCACCUGCAGAUCAAUUCAGGAUAGCAGAGAAGUGAAUGUACGACAGUGAUGUCGAUUGUUGGCUGCCGGUGUCAACAUGCAAAUAUUCCAAGACAAGAGAAGGUUUUGACCAUUUGAUGGAAGCAUCCAAGUCGAGCCAGGUCAACAAGUUUUGAUUCUGAACACUCCUAGUUCAUUAGCACAUUCUGAAUGUUGUUGUUGGCUUGAAACUGGAGACCAAUUUGGCAGAGGCAGGGGACGAGCCUAACUGGUUGGUGUCUCCACAUGUCGGCUUGUGCCCGUGGUGGAUGCAAACAAAAGGAAGGACUCGUAUGCAACCCAGCAUGCUGGGUAUCUUCUAGUAUGUUUCAUGAUCAUUCAGAGUUUAGGUCUGGUGCACAUGUUCAAAAUCCUAAACCCUCUAGUUGUAAACCUCACAGAAAUUCUCACCUAGGCUGAUCGUCUACUAGAGUAAUGCUCAACACCUUGCUAUAUAUCAUACUGCUAUGUGAUAUUGUAUAUGUGCAUGUGUUAUAAAUUGGCUUUAAUUCAAUACUUUGCGAUUGGUCAAUA